rnacentral:piRNA from 1 species
UAGCAUGCAGACCACAGAGGAUGAAGGUA